CCUACGGGAGGCAGCAGUGAGGAAUAUUGGUCAAUGGACGAGAGUCUGAACCAGCCAAGUAGCGUGAAGGAUGACUGCCCUAUGGGUUGUAAACUUCUUUUAUAUGGGAAUAAAACGUUCCACGUGUGGGAUUUUGUAUGUACCAUAUGAAUAAGGAUCGGCUAACUCCGUGCCAGCAGCCGCGGUAAUACGGAGGAUACGAGCGUUAUCCGGAUUUAUUGGGUGUAAAGGGAGCGUAGGUGGAUUGUUAAGUCAGUUGUGAAAGUUUGCGGCUCAACCGUAAAAUUGCAGUUGAAACUGGCAGUCUUGAGUGCAGUAGAGGUGGGCGGAAUUCGUGGCGUAGCGGUGAAAUGCUUAGAUAUCACGAAGAACUCCGAUUGCGAAGGCAGUUCACUGGACUGCAACUGACACUGAGGCUCGAAAGUGUGGGUAUCAAACAGGAUUAGAUACCCCUGUAGUC
rnacentral:rRNA from 1 species